GGGCGGGUCGACAGUGGGUGGUCGUGGUAGAGAGUACAGGGCACCGGAGCUAUUGAACCUGGCGAUCUCCUCCAUGGUUAGAAGAUCCUUCACAGAUAAACCGAAGGGGUCAAACUCAACAGAAACUUGGUUAUCAGUAGAAAGUUUGCGAAUAGAAAUUAGGUUUGUUAUUAGGUGAGGGGCAACAAGAACAUCACGAAGAGCUAGAGGUUUGCUGGUUGAAGGAAGAAAGGAGUGGCCAACAGAGUAAAUAGGAAUUGUAGAACCAUCACCUAAUGUGAUUGAAGAGAAAAUGGAAGGAGGAUGACACGAAGACAGCGCACGUGAAUGAACAAACAUAUGCUGAGAUGCACCAGAAUCAAAAAUCCACUCGGUACCUUCUCCCUGGGCAGUAUAGUUGUUCAUGGCGGCGAUGAAAGCAGCCUGGUCCCAAGCAGGUGCCGCGGAGGUUGAUGCUGACGGUGGAGCAGUAGUGGAAGCCGAUGAGGAUCCAUGAUCAUGGUGUGGUGACGGCUGAAGUAGGGGCGUCGGCUGAUAUUGGUACGGAGGCGCCAUCUGGUACUGG
rnacentral:lncRNA from 1 species